rnacentral:rRNA from 1 species
UACGUAGGGUGCAAGCGUUGUCCGGAAUUAUUGGGCGUAAAGAGCUCGUAGGCGGUCUGUCACGUCGGCUGUGAAAACCCGGGGCUCAACCCCGGGCCUGCAGUCGAUACGGGCAGACUAGAGUGCGGUAGGGGAGACUGGAAUUCCUGGUGUAGCGGUGAAAUGCGCAGAUAUCAGGAGGAACACCGGUGGCGAAGGCGGCCUGCUGGGCAGUUACUGACACUGAGGCGCGACAGCGUGGGGAGCAAACAGG